rnacentral:ncRNA from 1 species
ACAAUGGUACUCCCGCCCAGCCACAGACAUCGCAAUGGGGGCGGCUCGGUCAGAACGACGGAGGCGGUCAGAACGACGGAGGGGUGAGAUUCCCGUGA